UACGGAGGGUGCAAGCGUUGUCCGGAAUCACUGGGCGUAAAGGGCUCGUAGGUGGCCAACUAAGUCGGACGUGAAAUCCCUCGGCUUAACCGGGGAACUGCGUCCGAUACUGGUUGGCUUGAGUUUGGGAGAGGGAUGCGGAAUUCCAGGUGUAGCGGUGAAAUGCGUAGAUAUCUGGAGGAACACCGGUGGCGAAGGCGGCAUCCUGGACCAAUACUGACGCUGAGGAGCGAAAGCCAGGGGAGCAAACGGG
rnacentral:rRNA from 1 species